AUACGGAGGGAGCAAGCGUUAUUCGGAAUCACUGGGCGUAAAGGACGCGUAGGCGGGUUUGUAAGUCAGGUGUGAAAUCCUACAGCUCAACUGUAGAACUGCACUUGAGACUACAGACCUAGAGUAUGGAAGGGGCAGAUGGAAUUAGUGGUGUAGGGGUAAAAUCCGUAGAUAUCACUAGGAAUACCGAAAGCGAAGGCGAUCUGCUGGGACAUUACUGACGCUGAGGCGUGAAAGCGUGGGGAGCAAACAGGAUUAGAAACCCGAGUAGUCC
rnacentral:rRNA from 1 species